rnacentral:lncRNA from 1 species
CUGUAAUAGAAAUAACGUUUUCUACCCUAAAUAUGAGCAGUUCGGAGUGCUGAUAAAUGAAUGAUAAGGUAGCUGUCAUGGUUCCUUCCGCCUGUGACAGAGACUUGUUUAGAAAGCAAAAACUAAAUGCAUUAGAAAAAGUCAUAUAUUUUAAGAGGAAAACAAUUAUGAAGUCAGUUGAGGAUUUGUCUUGAAAUUUUGGAAAAUAUGAUUCUAGAGGUGAAUAUUGGAGACUGCUAUAGACAGUGCAUGCACAGCAGGAAAACCAGCCGGCUUAAACUCAAGAUCUCCUUGCUGCAGGCAUGUCACUUCGGAGAAUUUCUGGAUGCAACAGCCAAGGAGGUGACGAUGCCUCACGUUCUCAGCAUCGGCAAACGCCUUCAGAUACCGUCCUCAUCAUCAAACUGCGAAGGAAGUUUGCAGGGGGAGAGCUGAAUAUUCCCACACAUGGACUUGGACCCAAGGUCUUCUGAAGCCUGUGAAGCCAGCAAGUGCUAUCAGGUGUCUGCAUGCUUAUUCCUUGUUGUCUYUCACAAGACACAGUAUGGGGAGGCUGUGCCAGAAAUACAGAUACUGUCAUUAUUAUUUCUAUUAUUAUGGAGUAAACACAAGAGCUUAUUAUCUUAAGAUCAGGUCAGCUCUGUACCCUGCAGUGCAUCGCUCUGGAAGUUCACAGAUGAAAGGAGUGAGAAUUGCACCCAUACUCAUCAUUUUGUCCUUGUCCACAGAUGUAGGGCUGCGCUGAUGAGGUCUUAUCAAGCACGUGAGUCAGUAACAGGGAGAGGCAUCAUUUCUCUGUACACAGAAUAAUCAACUCCAAGUUAAAUGCAAUGCUUUAAAGUGAUUUGUAUCCAUUCUCACCCCCACCUUCUCAGUCUAAUUAACUCCUCUAAUAGAAUUAAUCAGCACACUAAAUACGAGACUCGCCAACGACAAAGAAAAAAAAAAAGAAGAACACACACAAACCACUAUCUAUUCCAAAAUACAAUUAUACUGACAAACUCAAUUACAUGCCUCAGUCGCUUCUGAAAUUACUCACUGAUAUUGGACUGUGCACAGUUUAAGUUUUAUUGUUAAAAGAAAUCAUAAACACUUUCUAAAUCAUACAGUGUUUACAGAAAUACACAGAAGCACAGCUUUUAUUACCCAUGUGGCAAAAUUAAUUUGACACAUUGAAAGCAAAUGAAUAGAGCUGGAGGACUCUAUUCUUGCAGUAUUCUUUCCACCAACACAAUUUACUUUGGGGGAACAUCUAACACAUUAACCUGAUUAGACUCUGAUGUAGGUAAAUAGCAUUUCCAAGGAAGGGAGCAGGGAUCUAAAUCAAAAUUUUUUCUGCAUUUGAAUGAGAAACAUCAAUUACUGCAUUUCUAACUAUUCAUUGAGUACAAAAACCCUUUCACUAAGUAAAUUUUUGCCCUGAAAUCAGCAAAACUUUUGCAGCGGGAGCGGUCCACAGUAUGUAAUUAUGAUCUUUGCUUUAGUCUUUUAAGUUUGUGGUGAACUCUUCAGCUGAAAAUAAAUUCCAAUCAGCUUUCA